rnacentral:rRNA from 1 species
CCUACGGGUGGCAGCAGUGGGGGAUAUUGCACAAUGGGGGAAACCCUGAUGCAGCAACGCCGCGUGUGGGAAGAAGGUUCUCGGAUUGUAAACCACUGUUUUUGGUGAAGAUAAUGACGGCAACCAAGGAGAAAGCUCCGUCUAACUACGUGCCAGCAGCCGUGGGAAUACGGAGGGAGCAAGCGUUGUCCGGAUUUACCGGGGGUAAAGGGUGCGUAGGCGGUCUUGCAAGUCAGGCGUGAAAACCACAGGCUCAACCUGUGGAUUGCGUUUGAAACUGUGGGGCUUGAGUGAAGUAGAGGUAGGCGGAAUGCCCGGUGUAGCGGUGAAAUGCGUAGAGAUCGGGAGGAACACCAGUGGCGAAGGCGGCCUACUGGGCUUUAACUGACGCUGAGGCACGAAAGCAUGGGUAGCAAACAGGAUUAGAUACCCGUGUAGUC